AUUUCAGGCUCUGCUGUGUCAAGUCGGGGAGCGGCUCUUUGCUCAGCUUAGAGAACUGGAAGAGGCCGCAACCUUCUGCCUGCUGGAGGCUGGAGGAUGGAUGGAGCCUGGAGCCUGGGACACUACCUUGCUGUGGUUGGUGGUGGCGACAGAGCAGUAAGAGGGUGGCCGGCAGCAGGAGCUUGUCCUGCUGGGCUGGAGGACUAGGAGAAGGAAGAGGCACCACCACAUGCUGGAGGCUGAAGCCUGGAGUCUGUGCCACCAUGGCUCGCCUCGCUGUGGUUGGUGGUGACGCUGGAGACUGCAGCUGGGCCACAGUGGUAGAAAUGUGAUGGGGUAGGUUUUUGGGGAACAGGUGGCGUUUGAUUGUAAGAGUAAGUUCCUUAGAGGUAGGUGAUUAAUGAGAUUUUGAUGCACCCAACACCUAUGCAGUAUACACUGUCCAACUUGUAGUCUUUUAUUCCUCAUGCCCCACACCCUUUCUCCCAAGUCCCCAAAGUCCAUUGUAGUAUUCUAAUGCCUUUGCAUCCUCAUAGCUUAGUUCCCACUUACAAGCGAGGGCAUACGAUGUUUGGUUUUCCAUUCUGACAUUAUUACUUCACUUAGAAUAAUAGUCUCUGAUUC
rnacentral:lncRNA from 1 species